GGCGAAUAUAAUUUAAUGGUAGAAUAGCAAUUUGUGGCAUUGUUUAUAUAGGUUCGAUUCCUAUUAUUCGCC
rnacentral:tRNA from 1 species